rnacentral:rRNA from 1 species
UAGUGGCGAACGGGUGAGUAACACGUGGGCAAUCUGCCCUUCACUCUGGGACAAGCCCUGGAAACGGGGUCUAAUACCGGAUAAUACUUUCCUCCGCAUGGGGGAGGGUUGAAAGCUCCGGCGGUGAAGGAUGAGCCCGCGGCCUAUCAGCUUGUUGGUGGGGUGAUGGCCUACCAAGGCGACGACGGGUAGCCGGCCUGAGAGGGCGACCGGCCACACUGGGACUGAGACACGGCCCAGACUCCUACGGGAGGCAGCAGUGGGGAAUAUUGCACAAUGGGCGAAAGCCUGAUGCAGCGACGCCGCGUGAGGGAUGACGGCCUUCGGGUUGUAAACCUCUUUCAGCAGGGAAGAAGCGCAAGUGACGGUACCUGCAGAAGAAGCACCGGCUAACUACGUGCCAGCAGCCGCGGUAAUACGUAGGGUGCGAGCGUUGUCCGGAAUUAUUGGGCGUAAAGAGCUCGUAGGCGGCUUGUCACGUCGGAUGUGAAAGCCCGGGGCUUAACCCCGGGUCUGCAUUCGAUACGGGCAGGCUAGAGUGUGGUAGGGGAGAUCGGAAUUCCUGGUGUAGCGGUGAAAUGCGCAGAUAUCAGGAGGAACACCGGUGGCGAAGGCGGAUCUCUGGGCCAUUACUGACGCUGAGGAGCGAAAGCGUGGGGAGCGAACAGGAUUAGAUACCCUGGUAGUCCACGCCGUAAACGUUGGGAACUAGGUGUUGGCGACAUUCCACGUCGUCGGUGCCGCAGCUAACGCA